UGGGGAAUAUUGCACAAUGGGCGAAAGCCUGAUGCAGCAACGCCGCGUGAGUGAUGAAGGCCUUCGGGUUGUAAAGCUCUGUCUUUUGGGACGAUAAUGACGGUACCAGAGGAGGAAGCCACGGCUAACUACGUGCCAGCAGCCGCGGUAAUACGUAGGUGGCAAGCGUUGUCCGGAUUUACUGGGCGUAAAGGAUGCGUAGGCGGAUACUUAAGUCAGAUGUGAAAAUCCCGGGCUUAACUUGGGAACUGCAUUUGAAACUGGGUAUCUAGAGUGCGGGAGAGGAAAGUGGAAUUCCUAGUGUAGCGGUGAAAUGCGUAGAGAUUAGGAAGAACACCAGUGGCGAAGGCGACUUUCUGGACCGUAACUGACGCUGAGGCAUGAAAGCGUGGGGAGCAAACA
rnacentral:rRNA from 1 species